CUGGCAACCCCAUGUAAGCGAUCCCAACUCUACCGUUAACUGAUCUGCCGUCGCAACCGAGGGGUUGGACUGUAAAGCGCAGCCUAGCCCUAAACAUUGGGAGGUUCUUCGGUUGUUUCGUCUGCCGGAAAUGCCCGGCAUUCCUUUAUCCAACCGCUCGAAGAUCGGGGACUGUGUAGGAAAGGUGAAAUACCUUCUUGUACAGCGUGCAACAGUAAGGUAGGAAUGGUUCAGACGCCCCUCAGCAACAUCCAUUUUCCUAGAAAUCAUAAGCGAGUCAGGUAUAUCUAUGGUGAACAUUUCCCAGGCCAGAGAGACAUCUACAAGAGGACACGCAAGGGUCCUCCACAAUUUGCACAUCCUCUCGUAGCCAUUCUUGUUGCUCAGCAGUUCUAGUGUUUUUGUCGUAUAUCCUAGCC
rnacentral:sRNA from 1 species